CGCGAAUUCGCCCUUCGGGGUGCAGCAGGCGCGAAAACUUUACAAUGCGGGAAACCGUGAUAAGGGGACACCGAGUGCCAGCAUCAUAUGCUGGCUGUCCAGGUGUGUAAAAUACACCUGUUAGCAAGGGCCGGGCAAGACCGGUGCCAGCCGCCGCGGUAACACCGGCGGCCCGAGUGGUGAUCGUGAUUAUUGGGUCUAAAGGGUCCGUAGCCGGUUUGGUCAGUCCUCCGGGAAAUCUGACGGCUCAACCGUUAGGCUUUCGGGGGAUACUGCCAGGCUUGGAACCGGGAGAGGUAAGAGGUACUACAGGGGUAGGAGUGAAAUCUUGUAAUCCCUGUGAGACCACCUGUGGCGAAGGCGUCUUACCAGAACGGGUUCGACGGUGAGGGACGAAAGCUGGGGGCACGAACCGGAUUAGAUACCCGGGUAGUCCCAGCCGUAAACGAUGCUCGCUAGGUGUCAGGCAUGGCGCGACCGUGUCUGGUGCCGCAGGGAAGCCGUGAAGCGAGCCACCUGGGAAGUACGGCCGCAAGGCUGAAACUUAAAGGAAUUGGCGGGGGACAC
rnacentral:rRNA from 1 species